rnacentral:rRNA from 1 species
ACACAUGCAAGUCGAACGGCAGCACGGGGGCAACCCUGGUGGCGAGUGGCNAACGGGUGANUAAUACAUCNGAACGUGCCCUGUAAUGGGGGAUAACNAUUCGAAA